CCGGGGGAUCACCACGG
rnacentral:misc_RNA from 1 species